rnacentral:misc_RNA from 1 species
GAUGAAGAACGUAGCGAAAUGCGAUACGUAAUGUGAAUUGCAAAUUCAGUGAAUCAUCGAGUCUUUGAACGCACAUUGCGCCCCCUGGUAUUCCGGGGGGCAUGCCUGUCCGAGCGUCAUUGCUGCCCUCAAGCACGGCUUGUGUGUUGGGCCCCGUCCUCCGAUCCCGGGGGACGGGCCCGAAAGGCAGCGGCGGCACCGCGUCCGGUCCUCGAGCGUAUGGGGCUUUGUCACCCGCUCUGUAGGCCCGGCCGGCGCUUGCCGAUCAACCCAAAUUUUUUAUCCAGGCUGACCUCGGAUCAGGUAGGGAUACCCGCUGAACUUAAGCAUAUCAAUAGCGGAGGA